rnacentral:lncRNA from 8 species
AUGAUGUCCCCUGGAACACCUGAGCCCCUCACCACAUCUAGUGACGUCGUUUGGACAGGAACUACUACGAAAGGCGUCACACUUCAUCGUCUAUUGACGCUUCCAGUUGAGCAUGGAAAGCUUACAUCCAGCAGAUUACAUCCAGCAGAUUACAUUCAGCGGAUUACAUUCAACAGAUUACAUCCAGCAGAUUACAUUCAGCAGAUUACAUUCAGCAGAUUACAUCCAGCAGAUUACAUUCAGCGGAUUACAUUCAGCGGAUUACAUUCAACAGAUUAUAUCCAGCAGAUUACAUUCAGCAGAUUACAUUCAGCAGAUUACAUCCAGCAGAUUACAUUCAGCAGAUUACAUUCAACAGAUUACAUUCAGCAGAUUACAUACACCGUGUUCUAAAACAUUUGCAAGUUCCUGAGGUGGAUGAGGUAAGCAUGGUAUCUAAUGUCCUGUUGGCUUUCAUCCUCAUGGUUUUCUGAGGUACUUGGGCUGCGUCUACACAUGCACCCCCAUUCUGAUCCCUUGCCCAAUCUAAAGACCAAUUCAUUAAAAAAAUAUCUGAAUUGGGCUGCCUGUGUAAAUGCCGCCUUAUUGCAGCCCAAUUCAGAUUUUUUGACAGUUAUUUGCAUAUAUGAUACCUAUCUGUUAUUUUCCUUAAUGUGUAAACAGCAAAAAAACACAUUGAAUCUGAUCUUUUGAUUUCCUAUUUAUAACACCUCCAUAUGUGGAGCAGAAUCCUGAUACAAACCCCAUCCUCCAUAUACGACCUCUGUCUGAAUACUCAGAUUUUUUGUUGUUGGCACGUGACGUUACCAUGACCACCACCCCAAAAUGGAAAGGAGCAGUGACAGGAAAUGAGAAUUGCAUUUCUGUGUGACUUCUGAGUGUGAAUGCCGAAAUCUGAUAUGGGUCUGAAAAAAAGAUUGGAUAUAGAAAGGAAAUCAGAUUUGGGGUCUUAGGCUGAAUGUGUAAACACAGUCAUAUAACUUCAGAGGAAGCACUCUGCUGCAUCUCAGCUGUGAUAUUUGUAACUUCUGAUUGUUCUACAACACACCAUACCUCUAGUCAGCUGCUUAUCAGAACCUUGAAUAGUCAAAUCAGAUGUGGUAGAACUGUGCUGGAGAAAAAAGCCUGCACAACCAUUUUGGCCACCCCUGAUUUAUAUGGACAAAAGUUCCUAUGUCUGAUGAUUUUGCUGUAAAUUAUGUAUUUUUUGAUAACUCACUUUUGCUGACAGGUACAGUAUUUUAGUACUAGGAGUGUCUUCAGUAAACUUUAAAGUAACUAACAAAGUUUAUGUUGAAGAUUGUUGUAUUUUCCAGGAGCUUGCUCGAUUGUCUUGUUAAAAGAGAUCAGGGAAUAAUUUUCCAGUUUAUCCCAUAUUGGCUUAAAUGGGUUUCUGGUUUUUCGCUUCCCUCUGGAAAAUUAGCUCUUAGUAUUUCACAGUAAUAUUGAAUAAAUACUAAUAACUACCUUAUUUCUAUUGCCUUUUGUCAUUAUUGUGUACUUUUACUUCAGAAAGACGACACACCUUAUUAACAGCUUUUUGCAUGUGGAAAUGUUGAGUAAUGUAAAUCAGCUUUUGAUGUAAAACCAUGG